rnacentral:lncRNA from 1 species
CGACUGCAUUGUUAUUGUAUUUGAGAGUUGUAAAAAAGAAAAGAUAGACCCUUUAUGAGCGAGAGGUCGAGGCCUCUAUGGCGGCGACUAUUGGCAUAGUUCCAGAUUUGGGCUUGGUGAGCUGGUUUGAAUAGCCCCUCAGUUCAGAUUGUUCGAGUUCUAUGGUGGCUAAGGAGGACAUAUAAAUCUGGGUUCUGAAUUUAAUUUAAUGUUCAAGGGAGCUUGCUUUUUCUUGCUGCUGCUGCCUUGGUGCGAAACAAAUACCACUUGAGAUUUUCAGAAAGCACAAAUCUUCCUUCCCUAGUUCUCAUGCCAAUGUAUGAUUCUCUUAGGACAAAUAGAAAUUGUAUUUUCUCUAGGACGGUAAGAUGAAUCACACGUUAUUGCUUUCAUUUCACUAAUUGAAGAUGGCAAGGGGUAGUUAACCAAUUCAAUCUAGCGUCUUGUGUUUAUGUCCCAUUCGUGUAACUUGUCCUGUCACCACGUUUGCUAUGACUCUGGUGAUAUUUUGUUGUUGGAGUAUGAGUCUCCAUCUUGGUUAGGGCUGGCCGACCUUUAAUAAUAUUCAGUUGUAACUCUUUAAAAUGUUCUGAUGAAUACAAUUCUUCU